rnacentral:rRNA from 1 species
AUUGAACGCUGGCGGCAGGCUUAACACAUGCAAGUCGAGCGGAGCGAGGGUGCUUGCACCUUAGCUUAGCGGCGGACGGGUGAGUAAUGCUUAGGAAUCUGCCUAUUAGUGGGGGACAACAUUCCGAAAGGAAUGCUAAUACCGCAUACGCCCUACGGGGGAAAGCAGGGGAUCUUCGGACCUUGCGCUAAUAGAUGAGCCUAAGUCGGAUUAGCUAGGUGGUGGGGUAAAGGCCUACCAAGGCGACGAUCUGUAGCGGGUCUGAGAGGAUGAUCCGCCACACUGGGACUGAGACACGGCCCAGACUCCUACAGGAGGCAGCAGUGGGGAAUAUUGGACAAUGGGCGGAAGCCUGAUCCAGCCAUGCCGCGUGUGUGAAGAAGGCCUUUUGGUUGUAAAGCACUUUAAGCGAGGAGGAGGCUACUGGUACUAAUACUACUGGAUAGUGGACGUUACUCGCAGAAUAAGCACCGGCUAACUCUGUGCCAGCAGCCGCGGUAAGAC